rnacentral:lncRNA from 1 species
AUGGGAACCACCUGGAGCGCGGGCAGCACAGCCUGGGCCGGACGCCUGCGCGGUUCCUGCGUCCAGCAGUUCUCUCCGCGGCGGCUUUACUCCAGCUCCAUCCUGCCAGACAGCAGGAUGCCCACCUGCCAGCAGGAAACAAGAAGAGUGACUUUGACUUCAUCCAGGACGAGAACAAGGCUGAGUGAGCGAUGCCACCCAGGUCGCUCCCAAUAA